AGAGUUUGAUUAUGGCUCAGGACGAACGCUGGCGGCGUGCUUUAGGCAUGCAAGUCGAACGCGAAAGCCCCUUCGGGGGUGAGUAGAGUGGCGAACGGGUGAGUAACACGUGGGUAACCUGCCCCUCGCAGGGGGAUAACCGGGGGAAACCCCGGCUAAUACCCCGUACGCUUGCUGGGGCGCAUGCUCCGGCAAGGAAAGGUAGCUUCGGCCAUCCGGCGAGGGAGGGGCCCGCGGCCCAUUAGCUAGUUGGUGGGGUAACGGCCCACCAAGGCGACGAUGGGUAGCUGGCCUGAGAGGGUGGUCAGCCACACUGGGACUGAGACACGGCCCAGACUCCUACGGGAGGCAGCAGCCAGGAAUCUUGCGCAAUGGGCGAAAGCCUGACGCAGCAACGCCGCGUGGGCGAUGAAGGCCUUCGGGUCGUAAAGCCCUGUUGUCGGGGACGAAGGGCGAAGGGUUAAUAGCCCCUAGCCUGACGGUACCCGACGAGGAAGCCCCGGCUAACUACGUGCCAGCAGCCGCGGUAAUACGUAGGGGGCGAGCGUUGUCCGGAAUCAUUGGGCGUAAAGAGCGUGUAGGCGGCCCGGUAAGUCCGCUGUGAAAACCCGGGGCUCGACCCCGGGCGUGCAGUGGAAACUGCCGGGCUAGAGGGCGGCAGAGGCGAGUGGAAUUCCCGGUGUAGCGGUGAAAUGCGCAGAUAUCGGGAGGAACACCGGUAGCGAAGGCGGCUCGCUGGGCCGUUCCUGACGCUGAGACGCGAAAGCUAGGGGAGCGAACAGGAUUAGAUACCCUGGUAGUCCUAGCCGUAAACGAUGGGCACUAGGUGUGGGGGGAGUCGAAUCCCUCCGUGCCGCAGCCAACGCGUUAAGUGCCCCGCCUGGGGAGUACGGCCGCAAGGCUAAAACUCAAAUGAAUUGACGGGA
rnacentral:rRNA from 1 species